CUGCGGAGGAUCAUUACCGAGUGAGGGCCCUUUGGGUCCACCUCCCACCCGUGUUUAUUUUACCUUGUUGCUUCGGCGGGCCCGCCUUUACUGGCCGCCGGGGGGCUCACGCCCCCGGGCCCGCGCCCGCCGAAGACACCUCCGAACUCUGUCUGAAGAUUGAAGUCUGAGUGAAAAUAUAAAUUAUUUAAAACUUUCAACAACGGAUCUCUUGGUUCCGGCAUCGAUGAAGAACGCAGCGAAAUGCGAUACGUAAUGUGAAUUGCAAAUUCAGUGAAUCAUCGAGUCUUUGAACGCACAUUGCGCCCCCUGGUAUUCCGGGGGGCAUGCCUGUCCGAGCGUCAUUGCUGCCCUCAAGCCCGGCUUGUGUGUUGGGCCCCGUCCUCCGAUUCCGGGGGACGGGCCCGAAAGGCAGCGGCGGCACCGCGUCCGGUCCUCGAGCGUAUGGGGCUUUGUCACCCGCUCUGUAGGCCCGGCCGGCGCUUGCCGAUCAACCCAAAUUUUUAUCCAGGUUGACCUCGGAUCAGGUAGGGAUACCCGCUGAACUUAA
rnacentral:rRNA from 1 species